AACGAACGCUGGCGGCAUGCCUAACACAUGCAAGUCGAACGAAGCCUUCGGGCUUAGUGGCGCACGGGUGCGUAACGCGUGGGAAUCUGCCCUUGGGUUCGGAAUAACAGUUAGAAAUGACUGCUAAUACCGGAUGAUGUCUUCGGACCAAAGAUUUAUCGCCCAAGGAUGAGCCCGCGUAGGAUUAGGUAGUUGGUGGGGUAAAGGCCUACCAAGCCGACGAUCCUUAGCUGGUCUGAGAGGAUGAUCAGCCACACUGGGACUGAGACACGGCCCAGACUCCUACGGGAGGCAGCAGUGGGGAAUAUUGGACAAUGGGCGAAAGCCUGAUCCAGCAAUGCCGCGUGAGUGAUGAAGGCCUUAGGGUUGUAAAGCUCUUUUACCCGAGAUGAUAAUGACAGUAUCGGGAGAAUAAGCUCCGGCUAACUCCGUG
rnacentral:rRNA from 1 species